rnacentral:sRNA from 1 species
AUCUCUUGGUACAUGAGUGGCUACCACACUGGCUACUAUAUGGGUUUCAGACAAAAUAAAAAAGAAGGAAAGUGCUCACAUACAAAUUAAGAAGUUCAGCUCUGUCUCAGGAGAUGGGGUGUCGGUGUCCCUGGUCGGCAAGAACAGACGUCUCCUCGUCAUCAGUGGACUCUUGGCUAAGUGGUGUCGUCAUCAGCAUCUCCCCGCUGUGGGAGUCCAUCCAUCCUAAGUCAGCAGCAGAGCGUGCCUGGGGCGUGAGCAGUUGGAGGGACCGACCAGUGGAGUGUGCGUGUCGGAAGGCAGUCUACCCAGUCGUGACUGAGCACAAAUGUGCAAUUGUCAUUUUCUUAGCAUGUCAAGAUUUUUAUUAAUGCCUUUAGAAUUAAAUAAAAGUACCACCAAUAAUCCCGCCACCCCCUCCCAUCUCUCCCGACUGUCUGGAUGACAC